GCGGGGGCGCAGCUACCGUGCGAGUCGAGCGGCAGCACAUGGGAAGUUGUUCCUUGGGUGGCGAGCGGCGGACGGGGGAGUAAUGCCUACGCAAAUUGCCCUGAUGUGGGGGAUAACCAUUGGAAACGAUGGCUAAUACCGCAUGAUGCCUACGGGCCAAAGAGGGGGACCUUCGGGCCUCUCGCGUCAGGAUAUGCCUAGGUGGGAUUAGCUAGUUGGUGAGGUAAUGGCUCACCAAGGCGACGAUCCCUAGCUGGUCUGAGAGGAUGAUCAGCCACACUGGAACUGAGACACGGUCCAGACUCCUACGGGAGGCAGCAGUGGGGAAUAUUGCACAAUGGGCGCAAGCCUGAUGCAGCCAUGCCGCGUGUAUGAAGAAGGCCUUCGGGUUGUAAAGUACUUUCAGUCGUGAGGAAGGUGGUGUUGUUAAUAGCAGCAUCAUUUGACGUUAGCGACAGAAGAAGCACCGGCUAACUCCGUGCCAGCAGCCGCGGUAAUACGGAGGGUGCGAGCGUUAAUCGGAAUUACUGGGCGUAAAGCGCAUGCAGGUGGUGGAUUAAGUCAGAUGUGAAAGCCCGGGGCUCAACCUCGGAACCGCAUUUGAAACUGGUUCACUAGAGUACUGUAGAGGGGGGUAGAAUUUCAGGUGUAGCGGUGAAAUGCGUAGAGAUCUGAAGGAAUACCGGUGGCGAAGGCGGCCCCCUGGACAGAUACUGACACUCAGAUGCGAAAGCGUGGGGAGCAAACAGGAUUAGAUACCCUGGUAGUCCACGCCGUAAACGAUGUCUACUUGAAGGUUGUGGCCUUGAGCCGUGCUUUCGGAGCUAACGCGUUAAGUAGACCGCCUGGGGAGUACGGUCCCAGGAUUAAAACUCAAAUGAAUUGACGGGGCCCGCACAAGGCGGUGGAGCAUGUGAUUAAUUCGAUGCACGCGAGAACUUACUACUUCUGACAUCUAGAAGCGCGGAGACCCAGUGUGCCUUCGGAACUCUGAGACAGGUGCUGCAUGCCUGUCUCAG
rnacentral:rRNA from 1 species